AGUGAACGCUGGCGGUAGGCCUAACACAUGCAAGUCGAACGGCAGCACAGUAAGAGCUUGCUCUUACGGGUGGCGAGUGGCGGACGGGUGAGGAAUACAUCGGAAUCUACUUUUUCGUGGGGGAUAACGUAGGGAAACUUACGCUAAUACCGCAUACGACCUACGGGUGAAAGCAGGGGAUCUUCGGACCUUGCGCGAUUGAAUGAGCCGAUGUCGGAUUAGCUAGUUGGCGGGGUAAAGGCCCACCAAGGCGACGAUCCGUAGCUGGUCUGAGAGGAUGAUCAGCCACACUGAAACUGAGACACGGUCCAGACUCCUACGGGAGGCAGCAGUGGGGAAUAUUGGACAAUGGGCGCAAGCCUGAUCCAGCCAUACCGCGUGGGUGAAGAAGGCCUUCGGGUUGUAAAGCCCUUUUGUUGGGAAAGAAAAGCAGCAGGUUAAUACCCCGCUGUUCUGACGGUACCCAAAGAAUAAACACCGGCUAACUUCGU
rnacentral:rRNA from 1 species